rnacentral:misc_RNA from 1 species
UAUUGUGUAUACAGUUAUCCUCUAUUUUUCUGUAAUUUAUCGUGAUUAAUUAUAAAUAGAUGUUCCUUAUUGAUUCCUUCAAAAAAUUAUAGUAAUAAAUAAUAGGCGGCCUUUCCGCUAAAAGCGAUUUGUUCCAAGCAACUUUUGGAUAGAGAAGAGUAAUUAAUGUGAAAGGACGCUGUUACACAUCCCUUGACCAUAAGACCAUAAGUUAAAGGGGUGGCCUAUUCUAUGCCGGGACUUAAUCUUAAUGUGAUGAAAAUAUAAAGAUAACUCCGCCUGUGAUAUCGGUAUAUGCUGAUGGGGUACCAGUGAGGGAUGUCAGGGGAAGAAAGCAAGUCAGGUGGCUCAUCAUAAAACUUCGUGUCCACCAGAGGAGGUGAUGGGCUUUAAUCUUCAGUGCAUCACACGCAAGCGCACCACAAUCACUAAUGAUAUCCAC